rnacentral:misc_RNA from 1 species
AUUUGCAAGUGCAUCUUCACCAAAUAUGGAACGAGCAUAAAGGUUGGCUGCCAUAAAGCCACAGUAACCAGAAAGGGCCUUUUCUGGAGUCAGGCAUUUCAUAUUGGUUGACUUUAAUAUGUGCUGUAAGUAGUCAUUUAAAUCAACCAUGUUGGUGUUAACUGUCACUUUGUUUUCCCAUUCAAAUUCGGCCCACAUCUGACGGAAUUCUGCAUCAGUGCAAGUUGCAGG